rnacentral:pre_miRNA from 1 species
AAAAAGACAAACCUUGAUUUCCGUGUCCAACGUUCGAUCGUCCGUCUUAUUUGAAAAAAUUAUAAAAAAAAUUAAAAAGACAAGUCACGCAUAAAAUAUUAAUUAUGUUUUAUCAUCUAACAACAAUGAAAAUAUGAAUUAUAAAAAAUUUUCAUAUAAGACGGACAGUCAAAGUUGGACAUGAAAACCCAGAGUUUGUUUUUUU